AACGAACGCUGGCGGCGUGCUUAACACAUGCAAGUCGAACGCAUCCUGCGGGCAGAGUGGCGGAGGGGGGAGUAAGGGGUGGUAAUGUGCCCGCUUGUACCCAAUCGUGGGGGGUAACUGAGCGUAAUGCCGGCUACGCCCGCAAGGGGAAAGGUUUAUCGGGGGAGGGUCGGGCCGGGUUGGAUUAGGUGGUUGGUAGGGUAACGGCCUACCAAGCCGGCGAUGCAUAGCUGGUCUGAGAGGAUGGUCAGCCACACUGGGACUGAGACACGGCCCAGACUCCUACGGGAGGCAGCAGUGGGGAAUCUUGGACAAUGGGGGCAACCCUGAUCCCGCCAUGCCGCGUGAUCGAUGAAGGCCUUAGGGUUGUAAAGAUCUUUCAGCUGGGAAGAUAAUGACGGUACCAGCAGAAGAAGCCCCGGCUAACUCCGUG
rnacentral:rRNA from 1 species